rnacentral:tRNA from 1 species
ACUUUUAUAGGAUAGAAGUAAUCCGUUGGUCUUAGGAANCAAAAAAUUGGUGCAACU